rnacentral:rRNA from 1 species
AUUGAACGCUGGCGGCAGGCCUAACACAUGCAAGUCGAACGAGUGGCGGACGGGUGAGUAAUGUCUGGGAAACUGCCCGAUGGAGGGGGAUAACUACUGGAAACGGUAGCUAAUACCGCAUACCAUCGGAUGUGCCCAGAUGGGAUUAGCUUGUAGGUGAGGUAACGGCUCACCUAGGCGACGAUCCCUAGCUGGUCUGAGAGGAUGACCAGCAACACUGGAACGUAGACACGGUCCAGAUGCCUACGGUAGCGAGAAGUGGGGAAGAUUGCAAAAUGGGCGCAAGCCGUAUGCAGCCAUGCCGCGUGUAUGAAGAAGGCCUUCGGGUUGUAAAGUACUUUCAGCGGGGAGGCGUUACCCGCAGAAGAAGCACCGGCUAACUCCGUGUCAGCAGCCGCGGUAAUAC